rnacentral:misc_RNA from 1 species
AAAAUGUAGUAAAUUUAUAUCAAAUUAUAUGUUUCUAACCAUCAAUUCAGAGGGGGAAAAAAAAAGCUUUCACUCGAAUGCCUUGAUCUUAUUAACCCUACACAACAUAAUAAUAUAUGAUCCUUUAAAAAGACCGUUUAAUUCAAAGAAAGAGGAAAUAAAAUUAGGUGAAAAAUAGUGAAGCCAAAGCUAAAAUACUUCAUUCGAAAGAACUCUCCCCUUCUUCAAUUACUAAAAUCAGAAAACAACAAAGUUCACAACUUUCUUUUACUUCUCUUCUCGUUUCGUAUUUCCCACCGUUUCUCAG